rnacentral:rRNA from 1 species
GGGUACUCGAGUGGCGAACGGGUGAGUAACACGUGGGUGAUCUGCCUUGCACUUCGGGAUAAGCUUGGGAAACUGGGUCUAAUACCCGGAUAGGACAGCUGUUUAGUGUCAGUUGUGGAAAGUUUUUUCGGUGCAAGGUGAGCUCGCGGCCUAUCAGCUUGUUGGUGGGGUAAUGGCCUACCAAGGCGUCGACGGGUAGCCGGCCUGAGAGGGUGUACGGCCACAUUGGGACUGAGAUACGGCCCAGACUCCUACGGGAGGCAGCAGUGGGGAAUAUUGCACAAUGGGCGGAAGCCUGAUGCAGCGACGCCGCGUGGGGGAUGAAGGCCUUCGGGUUGUAAACUCCUUUCGACAGGGACGAAGCGUAAGUGACGGUACCUGUAUAAGAAGCACCGGCUAACUACGUGCCAGCAGCCGCGGUAAUACGUAGGGUGCGAGCGUUGUCCGGAACUACUGGGCGUAAAGAGCUCGUAGGUGGUUUGUCGCGUCGUCUGUGAAAUUCCGGGGCUUAACUCCGGGCGUGCAGGCGAUACGGGCUGACUUGAGUGCUGUAGGGGAGACUGGAAUUCCUGGUGUAGCGGUGAAAUGCGCAGAUAUCAGGAGGAACACCGAUGGCGAAGGCAGGUCUCUGGGCAGUAACUGACGCUGAGGAGCGAAAGCAUGGGUAGCGAACAGGAUUAGAUACCCUGGUAGUCCAUGCCGUAAACGGUGGGCGCUAGGUGUAGGGGGCUUCCACGUCUUCUGUGCCGUAGCUAACGCAUUAAGCGCCCCGCCUGGGGAGUACGCCGCAAGGC